AACUUUCGGCAAUGGAUCACUUGGUUCUGGCAUCUAUGAAGAACGCAGCGAAAUGCGCUAAGUAAUGUGAAUUGCAGAAUUCAGUGAAUCAUCGAAUCUUUGAACGCACAUUGCGCCCGCCAGUAUUCUGGCGGGCAUGCCUGUUCGAGCGUCAUUUCAACCCUCAAGCCCCCGGGCUUGGUGUUGGGGAUCGGCGUGCCCUCGCGGCGCGCCGUCCCCUAAAUCCAGUGGCGGUCUCGCUGUAGCUUCCUCUGCGUAGUAGCCACACGCGCACUGGAUCGCAGCGCGGCCACGCCGUUAAACCCCCCACUUCUGAAAGUUUGACCACGGCUCAGGUAGGAAUACCCGCUGAACUUAAGCAUAUCAAUAAGCGGAGGCU
rnacentral:misc_RNA from 1 species